UGGGGAAUAUUGCGCAAUGGGGGAAACCCUGACGCAGCGACGCCGCGUGGAGGAAGAAGGUCUUCGGAUUGUAAACUCUUGUCUUCAGGGACGAAAAAAAUGACGGUACCUGAGGAGGAAGCCCCGGCUAACUACGUGCCAGCAGCCGCGGUAAUACGUAGGGGGCUAGCGUUGUCCGGAAUUACUGGGUGUAAAGGGCGUGUAGGCGGGUAUAUAAGUCAGAUGUGAAAUACCGUGGCUCAACUACGGGGCUGCAUCUGAAACUAUAUAUCUUGAGUGCAGGAGAGGAAAGCGGAAUUCCAAGUGUAGCGGUGAAAUGCGUAGAUAUUUGGAGGAACACCAGUGGCGAAGGCGGCUUUCUGGACUGUAACUGACGCUGAGGCGCGAAAGCGUGGGGAGCGAACAGGAUUAGAUACCCUGGUAGUCCACGCCGUAAACGAUGGAUACUAGGUGUAGGAGGUAUCGACCCCUUCUGUGCCGGAGUUAACACAAUAAGUAUCCCACCUGGGGAGUACGGCCGACG
rnacentral:rRNA from 1 species